rnacentral:rRNA from 1 species
GUAUAAUGGGUCAGCGACUUAUAUUCUGUAGCAAGGUUAACCGUAUAGGGGAGCCGCAGGGAAACCGAGUCUUAACUGGGCGUUAAGUUGCAGGGUAUAGACCCGAAACCCGGUGAUCUAGCCAUGGGCAGGUUGAAGGUUGGGUAACACUAACUGGAGGACCGAACCGACUAAUGUUGAAAAAUUAGCGGAUGACUUGUGGCUGGGGGUGAAAGGCCAAUCAAACCGGGAGAUAGCUGGUUCUCCCCGAAAGCUAUUUAGGUAGCGCCUCGUGAACUCAUCUUCGGGGGUAGAGCACUGUUUCGGCUAGGGGGUCAUCCCGACUUACCAACCCGAUGCAAACUACGAAUACCGAAGAAUGUUAUCACGGGAGACACACGGCGGGUGCUAACGUCCGUCGUGAAGAGGGAAACAACCCAGACCGCCAGCUAAGGUCCCAAAGUCAUGGUUAAGUGGGAAACGAUGUGGGAAGGCACAGACAGCCAGGAUGUUGGCUUAGAAGCAGCCAUCAUUUAAAGAAAGCGUAAUAGCUCACUGGUCGAGUCGGCCUGCGCGGAAG